CAACCUGAGGAUUGUGCGGUUUAAUUGGAUUCAACGCCGGAAAACUCACCAUAGCCGACGGACAAAUGAAGGUCAGUGUAAUGAACUUACCGGAUUGUUCGAGAGGUAGUGCAUGGCCGCCGUCAGUUCGUACCGCAAGGCGUUCUGUUAAGUCAGAUAACGAACGAGACCCUCAUCUCUAUUUGCUAACUGAAUCUCCGGAUUCAGUGCACUAUAGGGAGACCGCUGGCGCUAAGUCAGAGGAAGGGGAGGGCAACGGUAGGUCAGUAUGCUCCGAAUGCUAUGGGCUACACGCGCAAUACAAAGGACGGGACAAUGGGCUGCUGCUCCGAAAGGAACGAUAGCUAUCCCGAAACCCGUUCGUAGUUCGGAUUGAGGGCUGUAACUCGCCCUCAUGAAGCUGGAUUAGGUAGUAAUCGCGUCUCAAGAAGGCGCGGUGAAUAUGCCCCUGCUCCUUGCACACACCGCCCGUCAAACCAUCUUAGUUGUGGGUGGGUGAGGCUACCCCUCUAUGGGGUAUUCGAGCCUGCCUUCGACGAGGAGGGUUAAGUCGUAACAAGGUAGCC
rnacentral:rRNA from 1 species